rnacentral:lncRNA from 1 species
GAGGUGGUCCUGGGGACUAUCUCCUGUUCCUACACGCUUCUUCACCAGCUCUUUUCCCGCUGUCAUGAGGUAACCAGCUUUCUUCUGCCACACGCUCCCAGCUUGAUGCUUCUGCCUUCCACAAACCUAAAGUGAUGAAACUAGCCCACCAUGGACUGACGACUAUGAAACCGUGAACCACAUAAGCUGUUCUUCCUUUAAGUAGAUUAUCAUGCGUAUUUUGUCUCGGUGACAAAAAGCUGGUCAAGACACUUAAUUACAUCAAAAAAAACGUUAACACAGGACUUGGAGAGGAACAUGGUGAAUUUUAUCCUGAUAACUAAGGACCAAAAAAGAAAGACAAAGGAAACAAGGUGAGGGGAGAAAGGGAGACACACCUGAAUGCAGUGAGAACGCCUGAUCAUGUUAAUGAAGACCUUAGGACUUCAUCAAUGAGACAUGAGACCACAGCUUUCGAUGUCAUAACUUUGUAAAACAACAGUAAUAAAAAUGUUUCAAAUGGUAUCUGUUAAAAUUAAGAGUGAUUCAAUUAUGGGGACAACAACCAUACAGAAUUA